UGGGGAAUAUUGCACAAUGGAGGGAACUCUGAUGCAGCGACGCCGCGUGAACGAAGAAGGCUUUCGAGUCGUAAAGUUCUUUUAUAUGGGAAGAUAAUGACGGUACCAUAAGAAAAAGCCCCGACUAACUACGUGCCAGCAGCCGCGGUAAUACGUAGGGGGCUAGCGUUGUCCGGAAUCACUGGGCGUAAAGGGUUCGCAGGCGGAAAUGCAAGUCAGGUGUAAAAGGCAGUAGCUUAACUACUGUAAGCAUUUGAAACUGCAUAUCUUGAGAAGAGUAGAGGUAAGUGGAAUUUUUAGUGUAGCGGUGAAAUGCGUAGAUAUUAAAAAGAAUACCGGUGGCGAAGGCGACUUACUGGGCUCAUUCUGACGCUGAGGAACGAAAGCGUGGGUAGCAAACAGG
rnacentral:rRNA from 3 species